UACGGAGGGUGCGAGCGUUAAUCGGAUUUAUUGGGUUUAAAGGGUGCGUAGGUGGUCGAUUAAGCCAGUGGUGAAAGCCCGCAGCUCAACUGUGGAAUUGCCAUUGAUACUGGUUGACUUGAGUAUAGAUGAGGUAGGCGGAAUUUAUGGUGUAGCGGUGAAAUGCAUAGAUACCAUAAAGAACACCGAUAGCGAAGGCAGCUUACUAAACUAUAACUGACACUGAGGCACGAAAGCGUGGGGAGCGAACAGG
rnacentral:misc_RNA from 1 species